CAGGGUCUAACGACUGCCCAAACCAAACCGUGAACUAUUCCACACAAACAUAUGCUCCGGCGGGCCGCUCGCUGGGGGAGCCGCGGGCCGCUUUGUCGGUGGUCCGCCGGAAGCAUGCAAACCAAAAUACUCUGAGAACUGCUCUGAGAAAUAUCUUUUCUAAAUGAAAUAAAUUA
rnacentral:misc_RNA from 1 species